rnacentral:lncRNA from 1 species
CCAUAAAUUCCAGUUUUAAAAAUUUGUCCUACAGAAACAAUCACAAAUGUGAAGAGAGAGCCUACAGAAUGGGAGAAAAUCUUUACCACAUGCACUUCAGAAAAGCAUUAAUCUUCAGGAUAUAUGAAGAACUCAAAAGAACUUAAUAUAAAAAAACCACAAUCAAUAAAUGGGGAAAAGAACUGAACAGGCACUUCACAGAAGAAAUACAAUUGAUCAACAAAUAUAUUAAAAAAUGUUCAACAUAUCUAGCAGUUAGAGAAAUGCAAACUAAAACUACACUGAGAUUCCAUAUCACUUCAGUUGGAAUGGCAAUUAUCAAGAAUACAAGUAACAAUGAAUGUUGGCCAGGAUGUGGAGAAAAGGGCAUACAGUUAUUGGUGGGACUGCAAAUUGGUGCAACCAUUAUGGAAAGCAGUAUGAAGAUUCCUCAGAAAACUUGGAAUGGAAAUACCAGUUGUCCCAGUUAUCCCACUCCUCGUUAUAUACCCAAAGGACUUAAAAUCAGCAUACAAUAGUGAUGCAGCCACAUCAAUAUUUACAGCAGCUCAAUUCAUAAUAGCUAAAUUAUGGAACCAAUCUAGGUGUCCUCCAACAGAUGAAUAGAUAAAGAAAGUGUAAAUAUUCACAAUGCAAUAUUACUCAGCCAUAAAGAAUAGUGAAAUUAUGGCAUUUGCCAGUAAAUGAGUGUAACUAUCAUGCUAAGUGAAAUAAGCCAAUCCCCCCAAAUCAAAGGCCAAAUGUUUUCUCUGAUAUGUGGAUGCUAACUCACAAUAAUGGGGGUGGAUAGGGAAGAAUAGAAUUACUUUGGAUUAGACAAAGGGGAAUGAAGGGAAAGGAGAGGAAAUGGGAAUAAGAAAGAUGGUAGAAUGAAUCAGACAUUACUAUCCUAUGUGCAUAAAUGAUUACAUGACCAAUGUAUUUCUACAUCAUGUAUAACCAGAAGAAUGAGAAGUUACUCCAUCUGUAUAUGUCAAAGUACAUUCUAUUGUCACGUAUAACUAGUAAGAACAAAUAAAAAAAUUUAAAAAUUUGUCCUACAGAAAUAAUAUCAUGAGAACAUAAAGAUUCUAUAUAAAGAUGUUUGUCAUAACAUUGUUCCUAAUUGUAUAAAAGUGAGAGGGAAAAACAAUAGUGUACACUUACAUUAUUUAUCUAUUUCUGUGUAACAAAUUUUACUAGUAAUUAGUUCAAAACAACAAUCAUGUAUUAUCUCAGUGUUUAUUGGUCAGAAAUCUGGGAGUGUUUAUGGAACAGGCAUAAGAUAAUCUUGUUAUUUCUGGUUAAAAGAGAAAAAUGGUGGUGGG